rnacentral:rRNA from 1 species
GACGAACGCUGGCGGCGUGCUUAACACAUGCAAGUCGAACGGAAAGACCCUGCGUUUGUGGGGUUCUCGAUUGGCGAACGGGUGAGUAACACGUGAGUAACCUGCCCUUGACUUUGGGAUAACUUCAGGAAACUGGGGCUAAUACCGGAUAGGAGCUCCUGCUGCAUGGAGGGGGGGGGAAAUUUUCGGCUGUUGGGGAUGGACUCGCGGCUUAUCGGCUUGUUGGUUGGGUAGUGGCUUACCAAGGCUUUGACGGGUAGCCCGCCUGAGAGGGUGACCGGCCACAUUGGGACUGAGAUACGGCCCAGACUCCUACGGGAGGCAGCAGUGGGGAAUAUUGCACAAUGGGAGGAAGCCUGUUGCAGAAACGCCGCGUGCGGGAUGCCGGCCUUUGGGUUGUGAACCGCUUUCGCCUGUGACGACGCGUGAGUGACGGUACUGGGUAAAGAAGCACCGGCUAACUACGUG